UCGGCCCGUGCCAUCACCUGCUCCCGCUUGUUACCUGCUGCAUUCCAACCCUGCCUGAUGCCUGCCUGUGUCUUUGUUCUCCUAGCCACCUUCCCUUCAAGCUGCUCCAUACGUUUGUGCCAAUGAGGGCUAUUGUGCGCUGUGCAAUGAAAUGUCACCUGAUCACCUGAUCCUUGGCUUCUUGUGUACAACAGCAUAUUCAGAGGAAAAGGAGCACAAAUGCAAAUGAGCAUCUAGUAUGGCUUUUUCUGGAACAAUGAAGGCAUUCUGGGGCGAAGGCGGUUGGCUAGCGUUGGCGUUAGGGUCCAGGAGGAAACGUUUUUGGCUCAAUUUGGCCACCUCUGCCACCUGUGUCAGGUCCAGCACUGGAUAACCCAUCUGCUUGGUCCACGUGUCCAUGACCUCUCCGACCGGCAAGCCGCUCACCUAUCCGGAGCAAAAUGUCCUUUGCUUAACCGUGGGAUGGAUGGGAUUCGAGCGACCGAGACGGACUCGACGCACAUCUGCCAAGGAUGCCCAAAAGUUGCUGGUUUUUGCAUUCUUGAAGUAGUAAUCUUUUAAAUAUUUCUGCAAAGACACACAAGGCUUCGGUCAGAUUCAACAUUGACAUCGAAUUUGACAAAGGUCCGGGCCUAACCUGACAGCCAGCCCUGAACAUCUCUUUCCCCAUCCAGUCCUCCAGCAUGCGGAGAAUCGAUGCUCCCUAGGGAAAAGAAAGAAAGAGAGAAAGAAAAGCGGCGGAUGGCUCCAUCUUCAAUGUGAUGCAACGCUUUUCCUUGCUCAGACCUUGCUGUAUGAGAUGGCGUCAAAGACAGAGGUGAUUUCUGCGGGGGACGCCACGUCGACAAUAAUCGGGUGGGAGGACAGGAGGGCGUCGUUCACCAUGACGGGAAGCACGUCGCUGAUGAUCAUAAUGUCCCGCUGCGGAGGAGACAGCACUCAGUGCAUUGAGCUCUUAAAAGUGGCUUUUUUCGUUUUGGUUUUGGCUGCCCGGUUACCAUGCCCCAGCUAGGCUCUGCUUCCUCCACGCCGAUGUACUC